rnacentral:lncRNA from 1 species
AUUGAUUGCAGUUUGGUUGAUAUUUAAGGACCCAGGGAUGGAGCAGUGUCCUCACUCAUUGCACUCACCCUACCCAGGAUCUAUUUUUAGAGAAAAUCCCUUAAUCAGAAAGGAAGACUAAGAGAAAAAGGAAGAAAAGAUCUACAAAACAACUAGGAAAAAGUAACAAAAUGGCAGUAGUAAGCCCUUACCUAUCAAUAAUUACCAUGAAUGUAAAUGGAUUAAAUUCUCCAGUUAAAAGACAGACUGGCUGAACGGAUUAAAAAACAUGACCUAACUAAAGUUGGCCAUUGAACAAUAUGAGUUUGAGCUGCAGGAGUCCAAUGUCAUGCAGAUUUUCUUCCACCUCUGCCACUCCGAGUCAGCAAGACCAGCCCUUCCUCCUCCUCUCCCUCAGACUCCUCGAUGUGAAGACCACGAGGAUGAAGGCCUUUGUGUGAUGAUCACUUCCACUUGAUAAACAUUAAAUAUAUUUUAUCUUCCUUAUGAUUUUCUUGAUAACAUUUUUUCUCUAGGUUGCUUUAUUGGAAAAUAUAGUGUAUAAUAGAUUCAACAUAUAAAAUA